GUUCUCGCUUUGACAGCACAUAUACUAAAAUUGGAAUGAUACAAAGAAGAUUCGUAUGGCCCCUGCACAAGAAUGACAUGCAAAAAAAAGUUAACCUACAAGUUGAA